UGGCGGCGUGCUUAACACAUGCAAGUCGAACGAGAACAUGCAGUAGCAAUACUGUGAUGCUAAGUGGCGCACGGGUGAGUAAUGUAUAGGUAACAUGCCCUUAAGAGGGGGAUAACAGAGGGAAACCUCUGCUAAUACCCCAUAACCCUUCUUAUCAUAAGAUAAGUUGGCAAAGUUUUUUCGCUUAAGGAUUGGCCUGUAUAGUAUCAGCUUGUUGGUGGGGUAAUGGCUCACCAAGGCUAUGACGCUUAACUGGUCUGAGAGGAUGAUCAGUCACACUGGAACUGAGACACGGUCCAGACUCCUACGGGAGGCAGCAGUGGGGAAUAUUGCACAAUGGGGGAAACCCUGAUGCAGCAACGCCGCGUGGAGGAUGACACUUUUCGGAGCGUAAACUCCUUUUCUGUUAGAAGAUAAUGACGGUAUAACAGGAAUAAGCACCGGCUAACUCCGUGCCAGCAGCCGCGGUAAUACGGAGGGUGCAAGCGUUACUCGGAAUCACUGGGCGUAAAGAGCGUGUACGCUGUUUAGCAAGUCAGAAGUGAAAUCCUAUA
rnacentral:rRNA from 1 species